GAGACGCCGCGCCCCGCACCGAGGUAUGAGAGCUGCAGCAGCGACAACCAGGCGGCCUGAAGUGCAGACGCAAAACGGAUCCCGGGGCUAGGUGAAUUGGGGUAGGGGGAUAAUGACCAGAUUGUAGUGUUGUCUUUGCUGAGACAGGAAACACGCGAGGCUUGUAGGGAAGGUGCCCAGCUCCGCUGAGAACACCUAGAUUUUGAGAUUUCUGUGGCACCCAAGUUAAAUAUGCCUGGACUUCAGGACACGGGGGUUCCGAAAGCAGGAUGACGCGCCCGGAGGGGACGAGACGGUCCAGAGCACGCCCGGGAGAGAGGGCGGCCCAGACGGCACCGGCCUGCGCUCCAGCCCUCCCUCCCUCACACACGCGGAAUCUCAAAACAUGCGGUGAGACAGGUGGGGUAUUCAUUGGUCUAAUUCUGCAGGUAGGGAAAAUGAGAGCUUGGGGUAGGGGCUUAUGCAUGACCACCUGGCAGUGAAUCUCCCAGCCAAUACAAGCCUCACUCUACCCUCCUACAAAUUAAUUCAAUGCAUCCGAUUGUUGAAACACAUUCGUUCUCAAAUUUUUAAUAGAGUGCAUUGCAGAAAUGGCUUUUGCUUUAUAAAUGCCUUUUGUUCCUCUUUCUCCCAACCCUAUGAUAAAAUAUCAAGUGACCAACUUUCAAUUUUAAUAAAUAUCACCAGGCAUCAGAAA
rnacentral:lncRNA from 1 species